GUUUGAUGCUGGCGCGGGUAAAAGGGAAUCGGGUGAGAAACCCGGACGAUCCGGUCACUGUGAGCGGGGAGCGGGGUCGAAGGACGCCAUUGUGCGCAUGCAUGAGAAGGCUCGACCCAUGUGAUGAUCCGCGAGUCAGGAAACCUGCUGAAAA
rnacentral:ncRNA from 1 species